rnacentral:rRNA from 1 species
UUUAUUUGAUUUCUUCGGAAUGAAGAUUUUGUGACUGAGUGGCGGACGGGUGAGUAACGCGUGGGUGACCUGCCCCAUACCGGGGGAUAACAGCUGGAAACGGCUGCUAAUACCGCAUAAGACCACAGAGCCGCAUGGCUCAGAGGGAAAAACUCCGGUGGUAUGAGAUGGGCUCGCGUCCGAUUAGAUAGUUGGUGGGGUAACGGCCUACCAAGGCGACGAUCAGUAGCCGGCCUGAGAGGGUGAACGGCCACAUUGGGACUGAGACACGGCCCAAACUCC